GACCAAUGCCUCUGCAAGAGAUCUUGAAGAGAAAAAGAAACAGUAAAACAAGCAUGACAUCUGAUAAGAGUGAAGAUCAUCAACAUGAAAGAAACGACCACGCUCUGCCAGUGGUGACGUCCUCCAUCUCCAGGAACAAUACUGACUUUGAGCAAAAGGAAGAGUCUGAUCCUCCAUCUGGUGUAUUAGCUGAUCAUAAAUCUCCUGCUCACCAUGUUGCAAAUGAACUUGAAGCUGAAGAAGGGAUGAUUAUGGAAGAAGCAGACGAUCAAGACCCUGAAGCUGAAGGUCAUGAUCAAAGAGAUGGAGACUAUGAUUAUGAGCAGGUUGAUGGUGAAGAUUACAAUUUAGACGAAGGUGAGAAUAUUGACGCUGGUGAAGAAUACCUGGAUGAAGAUUACAAUUU
rnacentral:misc_RNA from 1 species